rnacentral:rRNA from 1 species
UACGGAGGGUGCAAGCGUUGUCCGGAUUUAUUGGGUUUAAAGGGUGCGUAGGCGGCCCGGUAAGUCAGUGGUGAAAGCCUCCAGCUCAACUGGAGAACUGCCAUUGAUACUGCCGGGCUUGAGUACAGACGAGGUUGGCGGAAUUGAUUGUGUAGCGGUGAAAUGCAUAGAUAUCUGGAGGAAUACCGGUGGCGAAGGCGGCAUCCUGGACCGACAUUGACGCUGAACGGCGAAAGCUAGGGGAGCAAACGGG